rnacentral:misc_RNA from 1 species
GGAGCAUCAAAGGCCAGCAAACUAGCAGAUUGGAACUCCAUUGUCAAACCAUACACUUGAGUAGUGUCUUCUAUGUCAGAAAUAGAGUUUUGCAUCUUGUCCUUGACCUCCACGGCUCCUUUCAACCCCUUACACCAGGCUAGCAAGCUUGCAUAUUGGAACUCCGAAGUCUUGGUAGGAUCCCUUAUUUCUUUUUUCAUUUACUGAUAAAUUUAGAUACUUUUGCCAACACUCCGAGCUUGAAGAUGCGACUUUCUUUGUCAUAAUCAUACCCCAAAUCAACCAUCUGUCGCGAAAAGGAAGCACAGUCAACAAUAGAAGGGACGGUUCAUAAUCCUUUGCUAUUGAACAUGCUAGGGAGUCAUCGCUGUAGAUGGUGGCCACCGUUUCGAAAAAGGCAAGUGAUGCAUUUUAUGGAGAUGCUUGGAUUGAGCAUGAAUGGGAGUGAGACUUGAAUCUGGGAGAUGAAUUUGAGUAAUUUUCAUUGCUUCCGAUCGUAAUUUAAGUUUUGUAAUAGGGGAUUUUAACUCUGGUUAGUGAAAACAAUAAUGGGAACAUGAAUUGAGUUUUGAAGAAACCAAUUGUGAUUUGGUGCAUUUGAUGAAAAUUGUUAGGUUGUGAUCAUUGGAAGGCAAGUGGUUUAGCGGAGGUGGGGAGAUGUUAUCAGAGGAAAGCCGGGGCAAGGGGGAGAAUAAUAGUGAGAAAAAUCGAGGGAAAAUUUAUUUAUUUCAUGCAUUUUAUUUUUAAUUAUUUGGCUCCCUUGUUUUAUAAAAUAUAUUCUCUAUUUCAGUUUGUUUAGUUUUUC